CCUGGUGCUUAUUGCGUGGUGGAACCACACCGAUCCAUACCGAACUCGGUUGUGAAACAUUACUGCGGCGACAAUACUUGAAGGGUAACUUUCUGGAAAGAUAGCUUAGUGCCAGGA
rnacentral:rRNA from 11 species